UAAGGACUUAAAAAAUGAGAGAGACUUCAGUGCAUUAAGAGCCAAAUCUGAGCUGAGUGUGGAGGGAAAACAGAGAACAGUACAUCACCCUCUUCCUUAUAAUCACCUUUGCUGUAUUUGAAGACUGUUAUCAUAUCUCCCCUCAACCUCCUCUUCUCCAGUUUGGGGAUUAGACCUUUGCUGAUUAGAGCAGAAGAAUCACUUCCCUUGACUUGCAGGAGGCACUUCUGGACUGAGGUCAUCCCUGUAUAACUUGGAGGAAGAAAUGAAAAACAAGAAUCAGGGAAGGCAACUAAUGUGCAAUUAAUUUUUGAGGAAUAUAUUGUUCUGGAUGAUGGAACAUUACAAAAUUUCAGUUCCUCUUGGAUUCUGAAGUAGUGACACCUUGCACUGCUGUGGCUUUGAAAACUAGUGGAGUUUUGUUAUUAAUAUCUACAUUCCAUUUUUUCUAAAUAUUAUUAUUUUUAGAGCUCUUCAGGGUUUAAUUCAUUGUUGCAGAAGGAGCUUCAUCUUUAAAAUAUAUUUUAAAAAUUUGAAAAAAAAACUUCUGCAGAUGCAAUCAAUUAGAAAGACUAUCUGAGAAAUUCAGUUACAACCUGGAUCUAUAAUAAAUUAUGGUGCCAGAAGGGAAAUCUGAACUUAAUUCCCUAACUAAUGAAGAGGUGACAGGCCUCCUUGUAGAAUUAAUAAUUGCUCAGAAUGCAUUUGUAUUUCCCUACAUAGUGAAACUUACUGUCCUGCACGUUUUGUUCUCAGUAUAAUGAAGACCAACUCAGUAUCAUGUUCCUGGUUAGAUGCUCAAUUUUUCAUGAAUUCUGUGUUCACAAGAGAUGAAUCAUUUGUAAGUUAUGGAUAAGAUUAAAAUAAUUAUUUAGAA